GCCUGGGUGGCUCAGUUGAUUGAGUGUCUAACUUCGGCUCAGGUCACAAUCUCACAGUCCGUGGGUUCAAACCCUGCAUCAGGCU
rnacentral:tRNA from 1 species